rnacentral:rRNA from 1 species
UACGUAGGUGGCAAGCGUUGUCCGGAUUUACUGGGCGUAAAGAGCGCGCAGGCGGUCGUUCAAGUCGCGUGUGAAAGCCCCCGGCUCAACUGGGGAGGGUCACGCGAUACUGAUCGACUCGAAGGCAGGAGAGGGUAGUGGAAUUCCCGGUGUAGUGGUGAAAUGCGUAGAGAUGUGGAGGAACACCGAUGGCGAAGGCGGCAUCCUGGACCGGCAUUGACGCUGAGGCGCGAAAGCUAGGGGAGCAAACGGG